rnacentral:rRNA from 1 species
AGUAGGGAAUAUUGGGCAAUGGGCGCAAGCCUGACCCAGCCAUGCCGCGUGCAGGAUGAAGGCGCUCAGCGUCGUAAACUGCUUUUAUCUGGGAAGAAUAUUGGUUGUGCGCAAUCAAUUGACGGUACCAGAGGAAUAAGCACCGGCUAACUCCGUGCCAGCAGCCGCGGUAAUACGGAGGGUGCAAGCGUUGUCCGGAUUUAUUGGGUUUAAAGGGUGCGUAGGUGGGUGUUUAAGUCUGGUUUGAAAGCAAGCGGCUCAACCGUUUGAUGUGGCUGGAAACUGGGCAUCUUGAAUGGGUUAGCGGUAGCCGGAAUGGGUCAUGUAGCGGUGAAAUGCAUAGAUAUGACCCGGAACACCGAUUGCGAAGGCAGGCUACUGGGACUUGAUUGACACUGAGGCACGAGAGCAUGGGUAGCGAACAGGAUUAGAUACCCUGGUAGUCCAUGCCGUAAACGAUGAUUACUGGCUGUCUGUAUGUGAAUAUGGGUGGCUGAGCGAAAGCGUUAAGUAAUCCACCUGGGGAGUACG